UCUGUUUCUGUUUAGGAGACAAAUCCAAAAAUAAUGCUGAGUUGUUUAUAAGUGGUUUCUAGAAGGUAUUAAUUAACUCUUCAUCACGUAAACGUUAUUUUAUUACUUUUUACGGGAGAGCUGGAAUCCCACGUCUGGAUCCUACGUCAUCACGUGACGUCCCUCCCGCCCCCCCCCAAAAAACCCAGGGCUGGUUUAAGGCACUUCUGAAAUAUCAACGUGAAUAUUGUGAAUAGUUUAGGUUUCCCUAUCUCAGAAAGAUAUGUUGACUUAUACGAGUGUCCGAGGACGUGCAGAAGGACAAUUCCCGGAAAGAAUAGUUUAUCGAAUUCGGAGUCUCUAUUGACUCUGCUCCUUUACUCACACAAAAAAAGUUGUGAAUUCGUGGGAUGUUUUACCACAGGCAGCUGUGGAGGCAGAGUUGUUGAGCAUGCUUAAGACAGAUAAUGAUAGGUUCAGAAUUGGACACAGUCUCAACAGUUAAAGGUAGAAUGCAGGAGAGUGUGUUUGAGGACGUGACCUACAAUCAGACAUGAUUGAAAGGCGAGCAGACUAGAUGAUCCAAAUGGCAUUAUUCUGUCCCUGUAUUUCAUUGUCUUACGGUCCUAUAGGACGCAAAAGGAGUAAAGGGAUCUCAUCGAAGCCUUUCGAAUGCUGAAAGGCAGAGACAGCGUAAAUAUGGAAACGAUUGUUUCCAUGCUGGGGUGGUAUAGGACAAGACGGCACAACCUCAGAGCAUAAAGGCGAACAAUUAAAACAAAAAUGCAUCGAAUGUUCUUUUUAGCCAGCCUCAUGAAUUUGCGGAGUAUGCUCCCAUGGCCAAUCGUCUAUUUUGGGUCACUUUAAAGCGUUGAUCGAUAGUUUCUUGACUGACACGUCUCCGGGACGGCGUGGGAAUGGGUGAGAAGCGGUUUGAAGUGGAUCAGUUCAAGCAAUUGCGGGAUACAAUAUCUUGGAGACAUCUGCCUGAUUCCUCAAAAAAAAGUUUCGAUUGUUCUGUCUACAGACACCUCUGGAAAGACACUGUAUUUCCAAUAGCGUUAUCUUUAUGCUGUAAUGACCUACCUUCACAACAUACAACAUGGUAUAUGUAGUUUUGUAUUUGCAAACUUCCGCAGAGUGGGCGAAAGGUAACUACUAUUGAUUCAUAGAGACUGUUCCUGAGGAACGGAGGAAAGAGACAACAGGGCUAGAAACGCACCACUCCAGGGCUUAGACGCUAGAUAGGAAGUUCGACGGUCAAGGGAUAGAAAACCAGACUUGAUAUGGUAAUAUUCAUUAUGUAGUUUAUACUUCUGGGCAAGCGCGGGAAUAUUGCCAUUGUGUAAAUCAGCUGCAUGGCUUGCCAGUGUAGAAAAAAAAUAGAGGAAAAUAUUUUGCAUUGCAUCCUCCUUUGUGAGAAUCGCAAGAUCACUAUUGAUUUGGGUCAGGAGACCCAGGAAAUGAGAGAGAGAGAUGUGCGGAAUGUCUCGUUCCCCGGCGAUAUAAAGAUACGGGACACGGCCAUUGUCUCUUGAAGACGAACUUGUGUUUUGCAAUACUGUGCUACGUGGAAGCCCUCAGGCAAAGUGGGCUCGUUGAGGGAGGGAUUGCAUCACCCCCAACCUGAUUGACAUCUGAGACUCUCUGAAUCAGGAUAAAAGAGGGUCUGAGGGAACAGCCCCUCAGACGCACCAGAAGAAACGCUGGUGAUCCUGUAAUAGUGGAAACCAGGUGGGAGGAGGCCACGUGCGUUCGGUUCCACUUGCCCCGGAACCGGUGGCUUUUACCACGUGAGACUGGCUUUUACAACGGGGAAACCAACUCCCAAAAGACUCGAAGGAUUGGUAUCAUAAAAGAACUGGGCAAGUUGAAACCGUCUCUCUCUCAAACCCAAAAACGCUGCAGCUUGGACGAACUAACAAUGAGUUUCAUAUUUCCAUCGGACAAUACAUUAUCCCCUAGACAACGAUAGAGCAAUUACUUAUUGAUUAUUAUUAUACCCGCGCUUUUAAAUUUAGUAUUGACGACGUAUAUUAUCUGUAUGUUUGCAUUGAUAUUAUUUUGCGCAUUUUUAUCAAUAAAUACUGUUAAAAUAGUACCAUCAGAAUUCAACGGACCUUUCUAUCUUUGCUGGUAAGUGACCAAGUUACAGGGUUCGUAACAGGAUGGAGCUGUGUGUCAGUACACCAGUGGCCCGGCAAAUUUUGCUGAAGGUAGAGGACAUAUACGUUGAAGACCUAAACGGCUAAGGCUGGUAUAUUAUUGGUACGCAGGCGAGUGUCGAAUAAGAAUUUAACAUCAAAAAACAUUGAUGAAGUAGAGUUAAUUGAGGAGGAAUGAAAAGUUAGUUCGUGCUGGAGCGAAUAAGGAGAAGGAAAAUGACGAUCAGGGGGCCGUCGUUUAUGGAGAUUGCUACAAUUGGCGUACUCUGAUGUGUACAAAUGCAGAAAGAAUAUAUGAACGUAAUUCACCUGCAAAUAAUGGCGCCGAAUGUCAAUAGAGGGAGACUAAUGGGGGGCUGGAAUGUGAUUGUGAGACAUCUGGGGUUAAGACAGCGUCGCAAAGAGUCACUUUCAGAAAAAAAAAUAGAAUAUCCAAUGCAAUCGCUAAACUAAAUUGUUUUGUUUUUAAUUUACAUAUCUUAAAAAGCUAUGCCAUAUAUUAUAAACGAUAAUUAUUUCAGGAUGACUCUGUUUGUUGAAAAUAUAUUGAAACAAAGCAUUACUUCAUUUGAAACUUAUAACUCAGUCAAUGAGUAUGACUAUUCGACAUUUUUAUUUGGAAGUAUAAAUAAGCAUAUUUAAACAUAAAUGUUAUUUUCUGGUUCUCCGAGGAACGAUUUUCGGUUAUUCCUGAAUUGUUUGUUCAGUGGCCUGUCACUGAUGUUAUCAAUUAGAUUGCAUGGUUCAUUGUCCUCUCCUGUAUAAGAGCUUAGAAAGCAAUCAAGUGUAGGUAUCUGUCGUUGGAGCAUUUUGAAUGAUUCGCUGCUUGACACAGAAAAUGGGAUAUCCUGCAAUUUUCUACACAGCGAGGAUUUACUACCCUGUAUUGGCAGCGAUUGGUAUCCCAGGUAAGUAACUGUCGUUGGCCUUUGCAUGUGUGCGUUGUUCAAAUUACUGUAUCUGCUGUAGGAAAUCAUAGUCACUGCAAAACUUGUAACAGAUGAUGCCUCAUCUGAUGAGUGCUUUAAGUCUGUCCAUAUUAAAUAUACUAUUAUCACAAUUUUAGCUGCAUUGUUAGUCGUUUUUAACGUCCGAUUCUUUUGUCAAUGCCAUCAUUUGUUCAAUGGUAAUAUUGUUAUUGUUUCUUCAUUUUAACUUAUUUUACCUUCUAUAGCUCAGAAGACAUUUAUUUCUCUAAAUUUGAUACUGCAUCAAGAUAGAAACGAGAUGCUUUCUAAAGAUGGAAAGAAAAUCUUUCAACUGAUGUUGCUCUGUCUGCUUGCUCCCCGGUUUAUCAAUCAAAAAAAUAAUUUCCUUUGCCCUCGUCGUGUGUCAGAAGAGGGCAAUUUUCUAGUUACCUAUCUAAAUGUUUUUGAAAUCGCCUCAAUAACAUACAGAUAUUUUCAGCAUUGCCCUUUCGACUUCUCCGGCCAAUUUUAAUUUUAACGUUCAAGAUUCAAGUUUACUUCCCAUUAAAAAUUACUUUUGCGGUUCUUCUUCUCCAGUAUGUUAUUUCGGAAGAUACAAACCAGAAUCUAGUAUAUUCCCGCUGUUAGUACAACUUUCGACGCUCUGAGUGUUGGGCGUUCGUCUAAAUCAGUGGAUUGAUAAGCCACUAUCCUCCAAAUGAAAGGCAGGUGACUGAACCUCUGCGAAAUAUUUUUUCCAUUCUUCGAAUUACAGACAGCUUGUGCCAGCAUAGGGUCAAGUGAAUGAUGUUCACAUAGUUCUGUUCGACACAUAUCUACGCAUGCGUUCUAAGAUUAAAAAAAAAGUGGUCUGGGAUUUUAUGCAACUCUUCUUUGCUUCUUUGCAGUUAAUUUAAUGGCGAUUGUGAUCCUUUCUCUUGGAAAGUGCGGACUCUCUAAAUGCAUCUGCCGGUACCUGGUGGGAAUGGCAACAGCUGAUUUAAUAUGUGUUAUCAUUGCUAUUGUACUCGACCAGAUUAAUAGUAUUUAUCUGUAUGCUCGUUCUUUGCUCAUUGCCCCGAUUUGUGCCGCGACACUUGUCCUCAGGCUCGCAGCCAUGGACUGUUCUGUUUGGUUCACGGUGGCUUUCACGUUCGAUCGUUGUAUUGCGAUCUGCAGUCAAACGCUGCGGCAACGAUACUGCAGCGAGAGGACAGCUACCAUCGUGUUAGCAUGUGUUAGUUUAGGCAGUUGUGCGAGGCGUGUUCCGUUACACUUUGUGGUAGAACCUUACGUUAUCAUUGACAACGUACCCUGGCGAUGCAUUGUCAAAGCCGAUUACUUUGAUUUACCACUGUGGAGAGCAUUCCAAUUGUUUAACACUAUCACUACACCUUUACUACCAAUCGGAUUAAUUCUACUUUUUAAUGCAUUAACAAUCAGUUAUAUUAUAGCGGCAAACAGAGUGCGCCGGGGGCUUAGGAACAGCAGAGCAAAUGAGAAAGAUCCUGAGGUGAAGAACAGGAAAAAGUCAAUGAUUUUUUUGUUCGCUCUAUCAGCUAAUUUCAUAUUGUUAUGGAUCCCCUACAUUACAUAUGCGAUUAAUUGGCAAAUACAGAAUUACUUUUAUACAGACCUAUACUUGAAUACUCCAAAGUAUAUCCUGCAACAGUUUGGUUACAUGUUGCAGUUUCUUUGUACUUGCACGAACACGUGUAUCUACACUCUGUCGCAAAGGAAAUUCAGGAAGCAGCUGAAAAAUGCACUCAAACAUGUGGUUACGUUAUACUGCCGGCGCUGUAGAUGAAAUAGAAAUUGAAUUGUAAACUUUAAUGGAAGUUCAAAUAAAUUUCUAUAUCAUCCAUAUGUCAGUUAAAUGUGCCGAUACUACUAUAGGCAGGUGAGCGAACGUUAGUAGCUUCUCAUUUCCAGAAAAGUCAGCAAAAUUAUUUCAGUUAAAUGGGACAACUUUACCGACAAAUUAUGAGACGCUGAUGUAAUUAUUACAUCCAAAAGUUGUGCUCAGGACUUUUGUAUUAAUGCCGGAAUCGGCCUAAGAACCAAGUAACGGCAGUGUGAUUUUAUUUGUUCUUUAAUGCCAGCGGAUCAUCGAGUGUUCCGGAGAUAUCGGUGGCAAUGGAAAUACCUAGAACAUGAAAACCUGGCGUCAGUUGAAGUAGUUAAAGUCAGCAGGGAUCCCUAUAAGUUACAUUGUAUUAAUUAAAAACAAAAGAAAGGCAUUGCCAUUCUGUUCAGAAAUCGUGCAGUCAUUUCCUGACAAGUGAAGCCUUACUCCGACACAUAACGGGUCAUUUUGAGCUGUUUACUGAAAGGGGAUAGUAUCCGUUUUGCCUCUGUGGAGUAAAAACCAAUGCUUUUCAAAGGUUGGGUAGAAGGCAGGAGAAAGAGGUUCAGAGAUAUUACCAAUCAGACACCAAGUUACGGCGGCUCAGACUAUGUUUCGAAUGACAGAACUAUGCUGCUAUGCCUUGUCGUUUUAUCGCGGUAAUCAUGUCAAGAAGGAGGGUGAAUGAAAUAAUGAAUGACGAGAGGGCAGCGGUCUGUGUAGAAAGAAGGGACUAAGUUCAUGUCGGAAUGGAGUAUAUGGUGGGAUUAGAAUCGAUGGGUUAGAAUACACAGAGAACGUUUCACAGACGACGUCACUCUAUGUUAACACAUCACCUAGAGCUGCUUCCGUCUGUCCUUGUAUCUGUGUGAACCUGGAUAGCAUUAGAUCAAGCAACUCUAAUAAUCCGUUUGUCAGUUUAUCAGGGAAUUUCAUACUCAUUCAAAUUUCGAGAAAUGGUGGUGCAUUCCCCUGUAAAUUGGUCACCAAGCUGUCGCACUCACCUAACUAAUAAGCAAAUGCUUUGAGACAACACACACAAAAUGCUGGUGGAACACAGCAGGCCAGGCAGCAUCUAUAGGGAGAAGCACUGUCGACGUUUCGGGCCGAGUCCCCUCUGAGAGGCUGGUCAAGGACUACAUCUGCAGCAUGUUGCCACUCACACUGCCACUCCUACAAUUCGCCUACCGAUAAAAUCGUUCGAAAGAUUCAGCAUUCAACACCAUGAUUCCCUCCAGUCUCGACAAGAAGGUCAGAUACAUCGGCAUUCAUCCUGCCAUGUGGACUUCCUGGCAGAUCGCUGGAGGCUGUCCUUCCGAAAUGAAUGGUAACAUUGUAUUUGAUGGUUUCCACCGACACAACCUACAAUUCAGCGAAUCCUGAACGAGGUCAGCACGUCCCUUGCAGCCACGUCCACUGCCAAGAAGGCCCACCAGCACCUUUACUUCCUGAGAACGCUGAAGAAAUUUGGUCUGUCCCCGAAAACCCUCACUAAUUUUUAUAGGUGCACCGUAGAAAGCAUUCUUCGAGGGUGCAUCACAGCCUGGUCUGGAAGUUGUCCAGUCCAAGACCGGAAGAAGCUGCAGAAGAUCGUGAACAUAGCCCAGCACAUCACACAAACCAAACUUCCAUCCUUGCACUCACUUUACAUCACACGCUGUCGGAGCAGUGCUGCAAGGUAAUCAACGACAAGACCUCCCCAGCCAACACUUUUUUGUCCCACUUCCCUCCUGGAGAAGGGUUCAGGAGCAUGAAGAUUCGUACGGCCAGAUUUAUGAAGAGCUUCUUUCCAACUGUGAUAAGACUGCUGAACAGAUCCUCACCCGGAUCUGAGGCGUACCUUUCAAAUAUCUGGACCUGACUUGCACUACCUUACUUUCCCUUUUCUGUUUUCUAAUUAUGAUUUAUAAUUUAAUUUUUUAUUAUAUUUACUUCGAUUUGUACUUCAGCGAAUGCGAAGCGCAGAAACAAAUAUUACUGACACGAUUGUACGCUCUUGUAUCAAUUGUUUGGUGACAAUAAAGUAAAGUAUAAGUAUU